CUUUGGCAAAGUGGGUGGGGUUAUAUCCUUCCUGUUUGGCCCUGUCCGGGGGUGUCCUCGGAUGGGGCCACAGUGUCUCCUGACCCCUCCUGUCUCAGCCUCCAGUAUUUAUGCUGCAGUAGUUUAUGUGUCGGGGGGCUAGGGUCAGUUUGUUAUAUGUGGAGUACUUCUCCUGUCCUAUUCGCUGUCCUGUGUGAAUCUAAGUGUGCGUUCUCUAAUUUUCUCCUUCUCUCUUUCUUUCUCUCUCUCGGAGGACCUGAGCCCUAGGACCAUGCCCCAGGACUACCUGACAUGAUGACUCCUUGCUGUCCCCAGUCCACCUGGCCAUGCUGCUGCUCCAGUUUCAACUGUUCUGCCUUACUAUUAUUCGACCAUGCUGGUCAUUUAUGAACAUUUGAACAUCUUGGCCAUGUUCUGUUAUAAUCUCCACCCGGCACAGCCAGAUGACUGGCCACCCCACAUAUGCUCUCUCUAAUUCUCUCUUUCUUUCUCUCUCUCUGAGGACCUGAGCCCUAGGACCAUGCCCCAGGACUACCUGACAUGAUGACUCCUUGCUGUCCCCAGUCCACCUGACUGUGCUUCUGCUCCAGUUUCAACUGUUCUGCCUUAUUAUUAUUUGACCAUGCUGGUCAUUUAUGAACAUUUGAACAUCUUGGCCAUACUCUGUUAUAAUCUCCACCCGGCACAGCCAGAAGAGGACUGGCCACCCCACAUAGCCUGGUUCCUCUCUAGGUUUCUUCCUAGGUUUUGGCCUUUCUAGGGAGUUUUUCCUAGCCACCGUGCUUCUACACCUGCAUUGCUUGCUGUUUGGGGUUUUAGGCUGGGUUUCUGUACAGCACUUUGAGAUAUCAGCUGAUGUACGAAGGGCUAUAUAAAUAAAUUUGAUUUGAUUUGAUUUGAUUAUAGACCAGAUUACAUUAUAGACCAGACUACAUAACAUUAUAGACCAGACUACAUGACAUUAUAGACCAGACUACAUUAUAGACCAGACUACAUGACAUUAUAGACCACACUACAUUAUAGACCAGACUACAUUAUAGACCAGACUACAUUAUAGACCAGACUACAUUACAGACCAGACUACAUUAUAGACCAGACUACAUGACAUUAUAGACCAGACUACAUUAUAGACCAGACUACAUUAUAGACCGGACUACAUUAUAGACCAGACUACAUGACAUUAUAGACCAGACUACAUUAUAGACCAGACUACAUGACAUUAUAGACCAGACUACAUUAUAGACCAGACUACAUGACAUUAUAGACCAGACUACAUUAUAGACCAGACUACAUUAUAGACCAGACUACAUUAUAGACCAGACUAGAGACCAGACAGUUUCAGUCAACAGAAACUCUUCUAUCCACUGAAUGACUGCCGUUCAGGUAUGAAAACAAGAAAAACUGACUGUGGACAGUUUUAGUAAAUACGACAUCCUCGUUCUCCAUCAGCCGGUGUGCUUCAAUAGGACCAAGUGGAAAGAGUCACUCAAUGUGCUUCCAUUUGGAAUGACAGUGCAGUUAAAUACGACAUCCUCGUUCUCCAUCAGCCGGUGUGCUUCAAUAGGACCAAGUGGAAAGAGUCACUCAAUGUGCUUCCAUUUGGAAUGACAGUGCAGUGUACAAUUUACUGCUGAAAUAUCUGGGUCAUAAUAUAACAAUAUACUCCACUCGUUAUCUGAAUUUCAUUGAUACACUGUAAGCUGACGAAUUUCAAAGCAGAGAGACAGGCAAUACCGUAAGUCACGCAGAAAAGGUGAUCUUGUUGCAUGUGGAAUAAAUGGCCUACAACACUAUGCUACAUUUGGUACAGUAGCCUAGUAGCCUACUGCUUUACAACACUGUGCUAUGUUUUGUACAGUAGCCUAGUAGCCUACUGCUUUACAACACUGUGCUACGUUUUGUUCAGUAGCCUACUGCUUUACAACACUGUGCUACGUUUUGUACAGUAGCCUACUGCUUUACAACACUGUGCUACGUUUUGUUCAGUAGCCUA
ensembl:lncRNA